rnacentral:rRNA from 1 species
CCUACGGGAGGCAGCAGUGGGGAAUAUUGCGCAAUGGGCGAAAGCCUGACGCAGCGACGCCGCGUGAGGGAUGAAGGUCUUCGGAUCGUAAACCUCUGUCAGCAGGGAAGAACGGUCACUGUGCUAAUCAGCAGUGAAUUGACGGUACCUGCAAAGGAAGCACCGGCUAACUCCGUGCCAGCAGCCGCGGUAAUACGGAGGGUGCGAGCGUUAAUCGGAAUUACUGGGCGUAAAGCGCUCGUAGGCGGUAUGUCAAGUCACGGGUGAAAUCCCGGCGCUCAACGUGGGAACUGCCUUUGAAACUGGCAGACUGGAGUGUGUGAGAGGAUAGUGGAAUUCCAGGUGUAGGGGUGAAAUCCGUAGAUAUCUGGAGGAACAUCAGUGGCGAAGGCGACUAUCUGGCACAUAACUGACGCUGAGGAGCGAAAGCGUGGGUAGCAAACAGGAUUAGAUACCCGUGUAGUC